CCUACGGGAGGCAGCAGUGGGGAAUAUUGCACAAUGGGCGAAAGCCUGAUGCAGCGACGCCGCGUGAGGGAUGACGGCCUUCGGGUUGUAAACCUCUUUCAGCAGGGAAGAAGCGAAAGUGACGGUACCUGCAGAAGAAGCGCCGGCUAACUACGUGCCAGCAGCCGCGGUAAUACGUAGGGCGCAAGCGUUGUCCGGAAUUAUUGGGCGUAAAGAGCUCGUAGGCGGCUUGUCACGUCGGUUGUGAAAGCCCGGGGCUUAACCCCGGGUCUGCAGUCGAUACGGGCAGGCUAGAGUGUGGUAGGGGAGAUCGGAAUUCCUGGUGUAGCGGUGAAAUGCGCAGAUAUCAGGAGGAACACCGGUGGCGAAGGCGGAUCUCUGGGCCAUUACUGACGCUGAGGAGCGAAAGCGUGGGGAGCGAACAGGAUUAGGUACCCUGGUAGUCCACGCCGUAAACGGUGGGAACUAGGUGUUGGCGACAUUCCACGUCGUCGGUGCCGCAGCUAACGCAUUAAGUUCCCCGCCUGGGGAGUACGGCCGCAAGGCUAAAACUUAAUGAAUUGACGG
rnacentral:rRNA from 1 species